CACCAGCUUGCUGGUGUGGAUGAGUGGCGAACGGGUGAGUAAUACGUGAGUAACCUGCCCUUGACUCUGGGAUAAGCCCGGGAAACUGGGUCUAAUACUGGAUGCUACAUGUCACCGCAUGGUGGUGUGUGGAAAGGGUUUACUGGUCUUGGAUGGGCUCACGGCCUAUCAGCUUGUUGGUGAGGUAAUGGCUCACCAAGGCGACGACGGGUAGCCGGCCUGAGAGGGUGACCGGCCACACUGGGACUGAGACACGGCCCAGACUCCUACGGGAGGCAGCAGUGGGGAAUAUUGCACAAUGGGCGAAAGCCUGAUGCAGCGACGCCGCGUGAGGGAUGACGGCCUUCGGGUUGUAAACCUCUUUCAGCAGGGAAGAAGCCACAAGUGACGGUACCUGCAGAAGAAGCGCCGGCUAACUACGUGCCAGCAGCCGCGGUAAUACGUAGGGCGCAAGCGUUGUCCGGAAUUAUUGGGCGUAAAGAGCUCGUAGGCGGUUUGUCGCGUCUGCUGUGAAAGCCCGGGGCUUAACCCCGGGUGUGCAGUGGGUACGGGCAGACUAGAGUGCAGUAGGGGAGACUGGAAUUCCUGGUGUAGCGGUGGAAUGCGCAGAUAUCAGGAGGAACACCGAUGGCGAAGGCAGGUCUCUGGGCUGUUACUGACGCUGAGGAGCGAAAGCAUGGGGAGCGAACAGGAUUAGAUACCCUGGUAGUCCAUGCCGUAAACGUUGGGCACUAGGUGUGGGGGACAUUCCACGUUUUCCGCGCCGUAGCUAACGCAUUAAGUGCCCCGCCUGGGGAGUACGGCCGCAAGGCUAAAACUCAAAGGAAUUGACGGGGGCCCGCACAAGCGGCGGAGCAUGCGGAUUAAUUCGAUGCAACGCGAAGAACCUUACCAAGGCUUGACAUAUACCGGAAUCGUUCCAGAGAUGGUUCUUCCCCUUUUGGGGUCGGUAUACAGGUUGGUGCAUGGGUUGUCGUCAGCU
rnacentral:rRNA from 1 species